rnacentral:piRNA from 1 species
UCAUGAAAUCUAAUGCUGAUGUAGUUC